GGAAAAAAUAUAUUUCGUCCGGCAAUUAAAAGAUACAGCCACUAUAAGAGUUAACCUUUAGUUUGUACUAAGAGAAAAGACAUCGUUUAACUCUCGAACUUGGCAUGAAAAUUCACUUUAACAACUAAACUUAAGUUAUAUUUAUAUAUCUUCUUAACAACUUUUAUUUCAAUUAUUUUUCACCUCUAAUGCUGAUGUGGCAAAAAAAAAAAAAAAUUUAGGCAAGUAAAUGACAUAAAAAUGAGCCCGCUAAUAUAUAUAUUAUUAUUAUACAAUAUAUUUCAUUUCCUUCUCUUUGGUAAAUGCCUAUGAAUACUCAAAACCCUCGUUAAAGCCCCAUUGACGCCUAAUUAUGCCGCCCAACUACAUCAUCGAUUUUUUUCCAGAAAAGUUCACAAAACUAACAUUAUCAAGGCCGUGUCAACGUUUAUCUGGUUUUGAACGCUGCUUCCAAGCGUCACCGUCGGUUGAUUCUCCAUCGUCCUCUUCGCUUACGUACCCUUAGGUAAUGAAGGGGAGAAUACGGUACAUUUGAUACAGUUACAUUGGAAAAAUCAAAAAUUGAUAGCAAACCAAGUUUAGGCCUAAGGUCUUACAAUCUAAUGUUUGAAGAUUUAAACUUUAGAAGAUUUCAAUAUGACGAACAGUUGCAGAAAUUAUUUGAAGACUAUUAUUUGUGUCUUUUUUUUAAAAUUUAUUUUUUAUUAUAGGGUUGGUUAUAUAAUGACAUUAGUUAUUUAGUUCAAACAAUUUAAGUUUUUAAGUUGUUACAUUAAUAUUCUGGAUUAGUCCUUUCUUUUUUCAUCAGAUCUCAAGAGAUGUAUUAUGUUUUUAUCAAUUAAUAGUGAUAUGUUUUUUUAGCAUUUACCUUAGCUGCCACCAAAAGGCUCUAUUACUGGAUUAUUAUUUGGAAGAACAUUGUAGCCAUUAUCGGUGGCUAAACAAUUGUUGUUGAAUCUCGUAGCUUUUAGCUACAAUUUAAUUGCUUU